rnacentral:lncRNA from 1 species
AAUUUCAAAAUCUAUGCAACAUUUUUUUAAUUUUUUUUCUUUCUUUCAUUUGAUAAUGAUAUUAAAAUUGGGUUGGGUUUAGGUAACUGGGCUUCAUUUUCUUGAAUCUAUGAUUGCACCUUCCAGUUUUGCUCUAUUAAUAUCAUUGAACUAAUUGUUUAAUUUUAAUUGAUAGUUGAAUGAUUGAUUUAUUUGUUUAUAAAUU